GGGUGACUUCAUUGUGGCCUUCCAAUAUUUGAAGGGAGCAUAUCAACAGGAGGGGGAACGACUGUUUACAAGGGUGGACAGUGAUAGAACAAGGGGGAAUGGUUUUCAACUGAGACAGGGGAGGUUUAGGUUAGAUAUUAGGAGGAAGUUUUUCACACAGGGGGUGGUGACGCACUGGAACAGGUUGCCCAAGGAGGUUGUGGAUGCCCCAUCCCUGGAGGCAUUCAAGGCCAGGCUGGAUGUGGCUCUGGGCAGCCUGGUCUAGUGGUUGGUGACCCUGCACGUAGUAGGUGGGUUGAAACUUGAUGAUCAUUGUGGUCCUUUUCAAUGCAGGCCAUUCUAUGAUUCUAUGAUUCCCACUUUCAAGCUCCAUGUC
ensembl:lncRNA